rnacentral:rRNA from 1 species
GAUGAACGCUGGCGGCGUGCCUAAUACAUGCAAGUCGAGCGAACAGACGAGGAGCUUGCUCCUCUGACGUUAGCGGCGGACGGGUGAGUAACACGUGGAUAACCUACCUAUAAGACUGGGAUAACUUCGGGAAACCGGAGCUAAUACCGGAUAAUAUAUUGAACCGCAUGGUUCAAUAGUGAAAGACGGUUUUGCUGUCACUUAUAGAUGGAUCCGCGCCGCAUUAGCUAGUUGGUAAGGUAACGGCUUACCAAGGCAACGAUGCGUAGCCGACCUGAGAGGUUGAUCGGCCACACUGGAACUGAGACACGGUCCAGACUCCUACGGGAGGCAGCAGUAGGGAAUCUUCCGCAAUGGGCGAAAGCCUGACGGAGCAACGCCGCGUGAUGGAUGAAGUUCUUCGGAUCGUAAAACUCUGUUAUUAGGGAAGAACAAAUGUGUAAGUAACUAUGCACGUCUUGACGGUACCUAAUCAGAAAGCCACGGCUAACUACGUG